UUAAGCGACUAAGCGUACACGGUGGAUGCCCUGGCAGUCAGAGGCGAUGAAGGACGUGCUAAUCUGCGAAAAGCGUCGGUAAGGUGAUAUGAACCGUUAUAACCGGCGAUGUCCGAAUGGGGAAACCCAGUGCAAUUCGUUGCACUAUCGUUAACUGAAUACAUAGGUUAACGAGGCGAACCGGGGGAACUGAAACAUCUAAGUACCCCGAGGAAAAGAAAUCAACCGAGAUUCCCCCAGUAGCGGCGAGCGAACGGGGAGCAGCCCAGAGUCUGAAUCAGCUUGUGUGUUAGUGGAACGGUCUGGAAAGUCCGACGGUACAGGGUGAUAGUCCCGUACACCAAAAUGCACAGGUUGUGAACUCGAAGAGUAGGGCGGGACACGUGGUAUCCUGUCUGAAUAUGGGGGGACCAUCCUCCAAGGCUAAAUACUCCUGACUGACCGAUAGUGAACCAGUACCGUGAGGGAAAGGCGAAAAGAACCCCGGCGAGGGGAGUGAAAAAGAACCUGAAACCGUGUACGUACAAGCAGUGGGAGCACCUUCGGGUGUGACUGCGUACCUUUUGUAUAAUGGGUCAGCGACUUAUAUUCUGUAGCAAGGUUAACCGUAUAGGGGAGCCGCAGGGAAACCGAGUCUUAACUGGGCGUUAAGUUGCAGGGUAUAGACCCGAAACCCGGUGAUCUAGCCAUGGGCAGGUUGAAGGUUGGGUAACACUAACUGGAGGACCGAACCGACUAAUGUUGAAAAAUUAGCGGAUGACUUGUGGCUGGGGGUGAAAGGCCAAUCAAACCGGGAGAUAGCUGGUUCUCCCCGAAAGCUAUUUAGGUAGCGCCUCGUGAACUCAUCUUCGGGGGUAGAGCACUGUUUCGGCUAGGGGGUCAUCCCGACUUACCAACCCGAUGCAAACUACGAAUACCGAAGAAUGUUAUCACGGGAGACACACGGCGGGUGCUAACGUCCGUCGUGAAGAGGGAAACAACCCAGACCGCCAGCUAAGGUCCCAAAGUCAUGGUUAAGUGGGAAACGAUGUGGGAAGGCACAGACAGCCAGGAUGUUGGCUUAGAAGCAGCCAUCAUUUAAAGAAAGCGUAAUAGCUCACUGGUCGAGUCGGCCUGCGCGGAAGAUGUAACGGGGCUAAACCAUGCACCGAAGCUGCGGCAGCGACACUAUGUGUUGUUGGGUAGGGGAGCGUUCUGUAAGCCUGCGAAGGUGUGCUGUGAGGCAUGCUGGAGGUAUCAGAAGUGCGAAUGCUGACAUAAGUAACGAUAAAGCGGGUGAAAAGCCCGCUCGCCGGAAGACCAAGGGUUCCUGUCCAACGUUAAUCGGGGCAGGGUGAGUCGACCCCUAAGGCGAGGCCGAAAGGCGUAGUCGAUGGGAAACAGGUUAAUAUUCCUGUACUUGGUGUUACUGCGAAGGGGGGACGGAGAAGGCUAUGUUAGCCGGGCGACGGUUGUCCCGGUUUAAGCAUGUAGGCUGGUUAUCCAGGCAAAUCCGGAUAAUCAAGGCUGAGGUGUGAUGACGAGGCACUACGGUGCUGAAGUAACAAAUGCCCUGCUUCCAGGAAAAGCCUCUAAGCAUCAGGUAACAUUAAAUCGUACCCCAAACCGACACAGGUGGUCAGGUAGAGAAUACCAAGGCGCUUGAGAGAACUCGGGUGAAGGAACUAGGCAAAAUGGUGCCGUAACUUCGGGAGAAGGCACGCUGGUGUGUAGGUGAAGUCCCUGCGGAUGGAGCUGAGACCAGUCGAAGAUACCAGCUGGCUGCAACUGUUUAUUAAAAACACAGCACUGUGCAAACACGAAAGUGGACGUAUACGGUGUGACGCCUGCCCGGUGCCGGAAGGUUAAUUGAUGGGGUUAUCCGUAAGGAGAAGCUCUUGAUCGAAGCCCCGGUAAACGGCGGCCGUAACUAUAACGGUCCUAAGGUAGCGAAAUUCCUUGUCGGGUAAGUUCCGACCUGCACGAAUGGCGUAAUGAUGGCCAGGCUGUCUCCACCCGAGACUCAGUGAAAUUGAACUCGCUGUGAAGAUGCAGUGUACCCGCGGCAAGACGGAAAGACCCCGUGAACCUUUACUAUAGCUUGACACUGAACAUUGAGCCUUGAUGUGUAGGAUAGGUGGGAGGCUUUGAAGCGUGGACGCCAGUCUGCGUGGAGCCAACCUUGAAAUACCACCCUUUAAUGUUUGAUGUUCUAACGUUGGCCCCUGACCGGGGUUGCGGACAGUGUCUGGUGGGUAGUUUGACUGGGGCGGUCUCCUCCCAAAGCGUAACGGAGGAGCACGAAGGUUAGCUAAUCCUGGUCGGACAUCAGGAGGUUAGUGCAAUGGCAUAAGCUAGCUUGACUGCGAGCGUGACGGCGCGAGCAGGUGCGAAAGCAGGUCAUAGUGAUCCGGUGGUUCUGAAUGGAAGGGCCAUCGCUCAACGGAUAAAAGGUACUCCGGGGAUAACAGGCUGAUACCGCCCAAGAGUUCAUAUCGACGGCGGUGUUUGGCACCUCGAUGUCGGCUCAUCACAUCCUGGGGCUGAAGUAGGUCCCAAGGGUAUGGCUGUUCGCCAUUUAAAGUGGUACGCGAGCUGGGUUUAGAACGUCGUGAGACAGUUCGGUCCCUAUCUGCCGUGGGCGCUGGAGAAUUGAGGGGGGCUGCUCCUAGUACGAGAGGACCGGAGUGGACGCAUCACUGGUGUUCGGGUUGUCAUGCCAAUGGCACUGCCCGGUAGCUAAAUGCGGAAGAGAUAAGUGCUGAAAGCAUCUAAGCACGAAACUUGCCCCGAGAUGAGUUCUCCCUGAGACUUUAAGUCUCCUGAAGGAACGUUGAAGACGACGACGUUGAUAGGCCGGGUGUGUAAGCGCAGCGAUGCGUUGAGCUAACCGGUACUAAUGAACCGUGAGGCUUAACCU
rnacentral:rRNA from 1 species